rnacentral:rRNA from 1 species
UACAGAGGGUGCAAGCGUUGUCCGGAAUCACUGGGCGUAAAGGGCGCGUAGGCGGCCCGAUAAGUAGGGGGUGAAAUCUUGCGGCUCAACCGCAAGGCUGCCUUCUAGACUGUCGGGCUUGAGCACAGUAGAGGCAGGUGGAAUUCCCGGUGUAGCGGUGGAAUGCGUAGAGAUCGGGAAGAACAUCGGUGGCGAAGGCGGCCUGCUGGGCUGUUGCUGACGCUGAGGCGCGACAGCGUGGGGGAGCAAACAGG